ensembl:lncRNA AC096301.1
GUCAGCAAUACACAUUCACACAGGACUUCUUCAGCUCUUCACAGUUUCUCUUCUGUUAGCCCCUCCCUUGUGCCCGAGCAGAGAAAGAAGUCCAGCUUUAUCCUCACUGUGGCUGGGGUUGCCUUACAAUCGAAGGAAACCAUAGGACAAUGGCUGGAAGAAAUGCAGAUUUGGCUGAGACAGUUUACCACUCUUUCCAUGGGCUGCAUGUGCUUGUACAGUGACAGUGGAAAGAGAUGGAAGAAAGCCAAAGAGUUGUGAUAGCGGAAGCAGAGCAAUAGUGUGCGGAAGGCACUUGGCAGUGAUAACAUCCAUCUAUCAAAGAUUAUACCCGUGUGGCCUUACAGGCAGAUCCAAGGAAAUGCAGAAGGGUCACAGGAGGGCACCCAAGGGCAACGCCAAGACCCCAGGGCCAGGUGCUCCUCCUUCCCCUUCCUGCAGACCCUCCCUAUUCUUGGGGGCAGCGUUUCAAGGACAAGUCCCAAGGGGGCAAAGUGGUUGGGACAGCUGUGCUAAGCGCCUCCCCACCUCAAGUCUCUGAGACCCUCUAGCCCUGCAGUUUCUGCUUUCUCUCCCCCCAGUUCCAGCACCUUAGGCUGCUCUUGGGGGGGACGUCGAGGUGGCUGCCUGCUUCCCUGAGGCACGGGACACACGUGGCACGAGCGAGGGGGUCGGCGUCGGGAGCUGGCGGCUGUCCGGUGGACAUCUCACUUCCCCUCCCCAACCGCCGCGCGUGCAGGUGCCACGCGGAGACCCGCGGGCGGGGCAGACCCUGUGGACACGCCCCCGUGCGAGUCCCAGCUGCCCGGCAGGAGG